CUGGCUGCUCUUACCCAGACAGACUCUGCCACCGCUGCUGUUAACAGCUCCGUUACGCCUGGUGAUUGAUCCACAAAAGUGACACACCAAGUUGAUUCAUCCACAAGUGUUUGCUAACCUGUUCUGAUUCUGAUCAUAUAGACAUGAAGACCUCUCCUCUGGUAUGACAACAUAUCAGGUAAUGAAUAUAUUAAUUUGUCCUCACUUACAAGGAUUACAUAUUCAAAUACUGACAAUUGUUUAUAGUCUGGUAUAAUCACUGUUAAGUGCAUUGAGUGUAUUAUAAAAAUUGUACUAUAGUGUUUAAGAACUGUAGAUGCAUAAUGAAAUGGUGUGUUUAGAAAGAUGAAGGCACAGUAAUGUCUAUAAUAAAUUCAGAAAAAAGACAGAAAAUAUUACACUCACACAGACAAAAGUUGUUAAUAAGUUUAUAAUAACUUCCUCACUCACCAUGGUUAAUGGCAAAUAACUCCUAAACUGGAACCGUAUAACAAAUACUGUUUACUGAACACAUUAAGUCAUGGCUCUGUCUAACCUCUGGGCGCUAUCACAUGUCCACAAAUCCCCUCUCAGUUUAUUGUCAGUGGAGCAGGUCUAACAUUUGACUGUGAUGACAUCAUCCUGGGAGUAUUGGCUCUCAUGGUGUGAGCCCUAGAAGCAGCUCCUGCAUGUCCUCAUAUGACGAUAAAGUAACCAAGAUCCUGUAAAUAAGUGAUUCCUGUUAUUUUAAUGGAUUUUCCCCUUGAGGUCAUCCUACCUCCAAGAACAUCUUGUGUUUUUCAUUCGCAGUCAUCGCUGUUGUCAAGGUCUUCUCCUUUUAUUCCCUCCAUCAGUUCUUAAGGACCAUUGAUCACAUGUGGAUUUGUGAGAAUACUCUACUCCUCACAAAUGUUCAGAUCGUGAACAUUUGCCUAGCAGAGAGAAAACACGGUACAUUUGCACAUUCUUGUAUUCAUUUAACUGCAGUACACAAAUGAUUUUGCUAUAUAAGUGAAGUUAAACGCAGACUCUAAAUAGAAAAUAAUUUCACAAAUAGUCAGAUGUACUCUCACAUGUCAUUCAGCAUGUCACAAAUACAGUUAUAACAAUAGUUCCAGUUAGGAAAGAAAGCUUUAUUUACACACUUACAUUAAUCUGUCAUGGUAAAACAGGAAACAUUCAUUCUGGAAAUGUAAGUGCACAACAUUAAAGACAAACACAGCUCAUAUGGUGUCAUAAAACUUUAUUGGUUAUAGAUGUGGCUGGUGUGACACUGCAAAUUGCAAUUAUACACCGCAUAAGACACACGGCUAUGGUUUGAAGUUUACCAACACGCAUGUACAGUAUGUGUUGAUCCAGCGUAGUUUGACGGGUUAUCUCCUACAAACCACGUAAUUGUUUAGUGUAAAUUAACACCUAUAAGAAAAACUGGAGAUGCAACGUUAACAGGACAGUAGCAGUUUGAUAUAAUUGAUUAAUCUAAUAAUGAGACUUUUUUGAUCAAUAUGGCUGCCUUUUUAAUUAAUUAUUGGUAAUAAGUGAAAUUUCAGAACAUUAAGCAUACAAUUCAACACUUUAUAGCCGAAUUAGAAACCUGAAGCUGAAGUACGCCUCCUCUACAUCCGUUUGUGUAAUUCUUACAUAUCCCUCCCUGCUACCACAUUACACCUUGAGUUACAGUAAUUCAAUACACUGUCUGCUGCCUUUGGGGCCACAUGUGAACCGUGUCUGGCUCAGGACUGAAUGCUGCCACAGCUUUCUCUCUUAGGUCCUCUCCAAAACUUUUUUCACUGUCUGAGUACAUGAAAAAAAAAAAAAGUGAGGUGAGUGGACUGCCCACUCUCCCUCUUUUCAAAAGAAGAGGGAGGGUAGGUCACACUCGAAGAGACACAUCUUACAAGUGCCCGGGAACAACCGCGGUGUUGUGCUGCCGGUCGCUGUGUGGCUCCACUGGGACAGAUGGGCCUUAAGCUGCUUUGCCGAAGGGUACUUCAGCAGUGGUUCCUACAGGUUAGAGAGCACUUAUCACACAAUUCCCCUACCUAGACUUUCCCAGCUAGUCCUUAGAGUUAAACCAUUGACCUUCUGGUCAUCUGCCUCAAGUAAUCACCACGUAUGCUCCAUCAAUGCAGUCUUUAGCAGCCAAAACAACACAUCAUUUAUCAUUUCUCAUAUCAUCUCUCCAUUCCACAGUUUUGAUCACUUAAACAGCCGCGACUUGCACAACCAGCAUUUACAAAUACAUUAAGAGCAUGCUGGCAGUCAGCCUAAAGAGUGAUCAUUGAGACAAAUUGAUCCCUAUCUGUUUAAAUUGGCACUAUAAUCUAUCAUUGGCAAAUUGAACACAGUGAGCUAUCUGGGAUCUAUUGCCUUUUUAGAUAGCAGCCCUUAGGGCAUGCAGACAGAGUGAAAGUGAUCUACGCCACUGAAUGAACUCUUUAUGUCUCUGCUAAGACAUGUACAUGUAUGUCUGCUAACACUGAAGCAUAAAAAGGUGAAUGUUAUACAUGUUAUUAUUUCUCACACUGUAUAUGCGUCUAUAGCUUACAUGUGUGCAUACAAUCAAAUGCUCAUACACACACACACCAUGUUUACACUAAGUGGUUGUUAAUUGGUAUAAUGAAUGCAAUUUUCUGUAAUAACAUAUUAUUAAAAUGCCAAAAAGAGAGAAACAUAACUUAAAGUCGUACUUUUUUCCAUUAAAGUCUGUAAAAGCCAUGCUUUAGUGUAACCUACAGUAUUCAACCACAAAGAAAAAAAGGCAAAUCAAAAGAAACUACGUUCUAUAAGAGUAUACACACGGGAUAAUUUAUUGAGUUAAAACCUGUAUGGCAAAAAAAUCUUUAAUUACAUUUGUUAAAAUGUUAAACUAUCCUUAUAUGAGGAGACUUUGCUCAUGUUACGUUAAGCUUAUAUUUAUUCUAUGAUUGUUGUGAUAUAUGAGUCUGAUGUAACUUUUUGAAACUGUCUGUCAGCAAAUAUUCUUUGCCUAAAUAAAGCCACAUGUACAAGCACA